AAUAUGAAUAAAAAUCCCCUACUAAAAAAUAAGUUUUACCUUUGAAGACGCUAAAAUCUGAAUGGAGAUAUUAUAGUAAUCUCAUAGAACGAAGGGAAUAUUUGAGGCUGUCUAACUUGGAACCACAGCAAGUGCGUGAACACAUGACGUGCGUAACAGGCUAUAGCCAGCCAAAAACAGCCCACCUUUCUUCUAUCUCUUGUCUCUAUAAAUCAACAAACUUGCUGCCCACCCACUUCCUCAAACUUUCCCCUCUUCAAACUAAACCUCUCUUUUAAUUAUAAAUCAACAAAAUUCUACACAAAUCAACUGAAUUCUCUAUAAAUCUUUGCUUUUAUUUAAGGUUUUAGUGCAGGUGGAGAGUUCCAAAGGGAUCGCAUUGAUCUAAUGCACUUACUUUGGAGGUAUGCAGGAAAAUAUAUAGAUUAUGUUAAUUUGUUUAUCGAUUAUUAGAUCAUGCGAUCCCUUAGGAAUUCCCCAUCAAUAGCUCUAAAUUCAUGUCUUCUCAUCUCUUCCAGGGCUUUAUGUUAAACUUUAUUCAGAACCAAGGAUUUAAAAACCGGACCGGACCGGCCGAUCGGACCGGUUGAUCCGUGAACCGAUACUGUAGCCGAGUACUAUUGAAGGCAGAACCGGUAUAAGGUUGAAAUCGGAUUGAACCGCGGUUGAACCUCCGAUUCGAACCUAAACCGCGGUCCAAACCGGUCUAGGCGGUUCCACAAAACCCAACUGCAAAACCUCAAAUUAUCGUGAGAGAGGAACAACAACGUGGUGGACGACGAGUAUCAAAGAUCGAAGGAUGAUGGUCAGGCGACUGUGGUGGUCGUCGGAGAGGCAACGACGACUGCAUAGAUGGAGCUGGAUGUGGCGUCCAGAAACCAACGAUCAUCGCAGGAACACAGACUUGCUCUUCCAGCAGCCACGACCGGAAGCAAACACAAAAAUCAUAUAUUGAAAGAGAAUGCAGUUGUGCUUUUAGAUUUUAUAUUUGAAUUGGGAUAGAAGUUGUAUUGGUUUUCGCUUAUGAUUGCUGGAGAUUGGUAAUAUUCUGUGGGUGUUUGAUUUCAGCAUUUUCAGUUGUGGGAGGUUUGUGGUUGUGUGUUUGUUGAAUAUCAUGUGAAGAUUUGCCCA